rnacentral:tRNA from 1 species
GGGAAUGUAGCUUAGUGGUAGAGCACAUGCUUGGCGUGCACGAGGUCCUGGGUUCAAUCCCCAGUGCCUU